rnacentral:rRNA from 1 species
GACAGAGGGUGCAAACGUUGUUCGGAAUUACUGGGCGUAAAGCGAGUGUAGGCGGUUAUGUAAGACAGGUGUGAAAUCCCCGGGCUCAACCUGGGAACUGCAUCUGUGACUGCAUAGCUAGAGUACGGUAGAGGGGGAUGGAAUUCCGCGUGUAGCAGUGAAAUGCGUAGAUAUGCGGAGGAACACCGAUGGCGAAGGCAAUCCCCUGGACCUGUACUGACGCUCAUGCACGAAAGCGUGGGGAGCAAACAGG